rnacentral:rRNA from 1 species
AACGAACGCUGGCGGCAUGCCUAACACAUGCAAGUCGAACGAGACCUUCGGGUCUAGUGGCGCACGGGUGCGUAACGCGUGGGAACCUGCCCUUAGGUUCGGAAUAACUCCCCGAAAGGGGUGCUAAUACCGGAUAAUGUCUUCGGACCAAAGAUUUAUCGCCUUUGGAUGGGCCCGCGUUGGAUUAGCUAGUUGGUAGGGUAAAAGCCUACCAAGGCGACGAUCCAUAGCUGGUCUGAGAGGAUGAUCAGCCACACUGGGACUGAGACACGGCCCAGACUCCUACGGGAAGCAGCAGUGGGGAAUAUUGGACAAUGGGCGAAAGCCUGAUCCAGCAAUGCCGCGGGAGUGAUGAAGGCCUUAGGGUUGUAAAGCUCUUUUACCCGGGAUGAUAAUGACAGUACCGGGAGAAUAAGCUCCGGCUAACUCCGUG